GUUCGGAAUUACUGGGCGUAAAGGGUGUGUAGGCUGUUUAAUAAGUUAGAAGUGAAAUCCCAAAGUCUUAACUUUGGAACUGCUUUUAAAACUGUUAGACUAAGAGUAUAGUAUAGGGUAACGAAUUCCUAGUGUAGAGGUAAAAUUCUUGAAUAUUAGGAGGAACACCGAUGGCGAAAGCAGUUACUCAGGCUAUUACUAACGCCGAGACACGAAAGCGUGGGGAGCAAACAGGAUUAGAUACCCUGGUAGUCCACGCUGUAAACUAUGAGUGCUAGGGGUUAGAGACGUUUCGUUUCUCUAGUCUCGAAGCUAACGCGUUAAGCACUCCGCCUGAAGAGUAUAAUCGCAAGGUUGAAAUUUAAAGGAAUUGACGGGGGCCCGCACAAGCGGUGGAGCAUGCGGUUUAAUUCGAUGCUACGCGAAGAACCUUACCAACCUUUGACAUGUAGAGUUUCGAGAAGUAGAGAUAUUUCUCUUCAGUUAGGCUGGGCUUUGCACAGGUACUGCAUGGCU
rnacentral:rRNA from 1 species